CCGUAGGUGAACCUGCGGAAGGAUCAUUAAUGAAUUGUUAGGACGCUCUUUUUAGAGGUCCGACCCCUUCAUUUCCUUACACUGUGCACACACUUCUUUUCACACAUUUUUUAACACAUUAGUCUAAGAAUGUAAAUAGUCUCUUAAUUGAGCAUAAAAUAAACAAAACUUUUAGCAACGGAUCUCUUGGCUCUCGCAUCGAUGAAGAACGCAGCGAAUUGCGAUAAGUAAUGUGAAUUGCAGAAUUCAGUGAAUCAUCGAAUCUUUGAACGCACCUUGCACUCUUUGGUAUUCCGAAGAGUAUGUCUGUUUGAGUGUCAUGAAACUCUCAACCCCCCUGUUUUGUAAUGAAACGGGCGUGGGCUUGGAUUAUGGCUGUUUGUCGGCGUCAUUGCCGGCUCAGCUGAAAUACACGAGCAACCCAUUUGAAAUAGACGGUUUGACUCGGCGUAAUAAUUAUUUCGCUGAGGACGUUUUCUUCAAAAGUUAGUGGUGCUUCUAAUGCGCUUUUUAAUUAAAGCACCUUAAGCUUUAGACCUCAAAUCAGUCAGGACUACCCGCUGAACUUAAGCAUAUCAUAAGCCGGAAGGA
rnacentral:rRNA from 1 species